AGGAAUUAAGCAAUUUUGUUACAGGGCUCCAAACUUUCUGGAUUCAGGCAAGGACAGAGAGAAAACUCAAAGAAAGUUGAGCAUCGAUGAGAACACUCUGUCAUUGAGACACAGAGCCUGGAGGAGAAGAUAUCACAUGGCUAAAAAAUUCUUCUCAGGUUUCAACUUCUUAUUUCCUCAAUUCCACACAUGCAACUUUUGCCCUUGCUGUAGAAAUCCUACUGAUUUAUAAUAAGCCUCUGCUCAUGGAAGGGAAAUGAGAGCGCAGAGCACACGGCUGAGUUAUUGUGCUUGUUGAUAAUAUUUAGUGUAGCUUGGGAAAUUACUGCGGAAAGCUUGCUGCCCUCUAUGCGCUUUGGGGAACUUCCCAGAAGCCAGAGCUUGCAGCGGCACCGCCCUCAUCCCUCCACGUGGUGUCUCACUUCCUCUGAGGUGCUCCGGCGCUCUCAGAGCGCUGGGAGCCCUAGGCGGAAGAAAUUACGGCGUGAUUUAGAGGAGUUAAAAAAAAACUAUCCUGCGUGCAUCUCAACAGAACAGGGUACCUACAAAGCAAGCAACAUCCCUUUGCCUUAGAUUUUGCUCCAACCCAGAACCACCAUCUCCAGAAGCUUAAAUGAGCAAGGUCAUGACCCUAGAAUUCUGUGUUCAGCUAAAUUGUUAUUGAUGUGUGAAGUCAUAAAAACAAACAAACAAACCAACAAAAACACUUAGGGAAACGCAAUGGUGUAGAAAGUAUGCCGCUUUCUUAUGCUUCCUGGAAACUGUUCUAAGAUGUAUUUCACCUGACUCAUAGAUAAAUCAAGGAUUCAAAAGCCGAUGAUGAUAUCGUAUGCUGCAAAGAAAAUCUCAUUAUGUUCCAAAGAGUACAAAUGGCACAAGCCACAUUUUCUGACUGGGAUAUGAUAGAAUGAAAAAAUUAUAAAAACCUGUAAUAAAUGGAAUAAGAAAUAAUUUUCAGAAAUGACUAUGGAAGGAAGAUCAAAUAAAAAUUCAGUUAUAAUAUGUUUAGAAAAUGAGAAAUUUGAUCAAUGAAAACAUUUCAUAAUUUAAUCAUCGUCAUUUCAUUUGUGAAUGAGAAGUUAUUAUCUAGGGUGACUCUUGUGCCAGAGGAAAGGACAGGAUCAGGACAGGAGUCUGCACCCUCCCCUGAGAAAAGGGACACCCACCAAGAGAAACUUUCAUCACCUGAACUGCCCGGCAACAGGGAGGCUUCAGGGAGGGUAGACGAACUCAUUUGAUAGGAGUUAGCUGAGGAGGAAGAAAAAGAACAUUAGGAAUGUCUCCCUUGAGAGGAAAGAGACAAACUGGAAUCAAAGGCAGCAGCAAGAUACAGCCAAAGAAAUGCCAGUGGGUCUUGAGAUUCAAAGACUCCAUCUCGAAAUCCCUAUGCUGGGCUAACUCACCUGAAUGAUCCUGCUGCCUAUUCAUGUACCUGGCACACAACUGUUGUUCAAUAAAUACUUGCAGAAUCACAGGAUUAAUAGCAGAUGCACUGCAGUCCUCCUGGCUCCUGCACUUGCCACAGGAGAAUGGCAGUACUUUGGAGGUUGCCCAUCUCCUGUGGGCUCCAGAAACCUCAGUUCUGUGAGAGUUUUGGCAAGUGGAAGGUGGAUGGCAGUGAUGUGUGUCAUUUCCAGGCCUGGCAACCUAAACACCUCCUCUGUGCAUUCCACGGUGGCUCAUUCUUGCCUUGUUGGCCAGCCAGAUGCAGAAGAUCCAGCAUAGAGUUCCAAAGCCUCCAGGACUCCAAGGCAUCUAGGAGAUAGAGGAGCAACUAAAUGCAGUGUGCCUGGGCCCCUGGAGGACUGCAUGGAGCAGAACAACUCUUCCUCAUCCCCCCUUUCUGCUGAUUCCGUGUGGUCUGUGAUGUGAGCAAGAAAAAGACCUUUGCUGUAUUAAGCCACUGAGGCCGGCGGCUGGGGUGGGUGGGGGGUUAUUUGUGAAAGCACUAAGCCUGCUCAAACUCAACAACCUUCUAGCCUGUGUCGUCCCCAGGUUAUCGCUCCUGUCCUAGCUUCCUGAAUUUUGUAUUAUAUUCCAGGUACUUAGAAUACAAGCCUAAGAGCAGAGUCCCUUGUACAGGAGAGUUGCAGAUACUGGAAGUUCAAGGACAAAGGAGGGGUCUUGAAUGUUUGCUAGCCACUUUGCUCCUCUGUGACUAUGAUGUGCCAAGGCCUGCAGGAAUUUUCUCCCCCGAGCAUGGCUGCAGUGUGCAUCAGCAUGGCUGCGUGAUACCUAUUAUUUCUACAUGGGCUGGCCUCUAAAGAAGAAAAAAGCUCUGCAGUGGCUGGGCCCUCCCACUCCUGCAGAAGCCACAUGUCCUUGCACAUCUGAGCACUAGAGACCAUGAGUAGGGGACAAACCUACCCAUGUUCUGGAACACUGACUACUGUCUAAGCCACAAAGGAGAGUAACAUGUUCUUCUGCAUUGUGUUGAAGAAUUUCUGCUUGAGAGUCAGAGAGAUGUGGGCUUGAAGCCCUACUGUGGUAUUUCAGUGACUUUGGGCAAUCUUAAUAUCUCUAAGUACCAUUCACACACACACACACACACACACACACACAUGCACACACACACAUCUUUAUAGAUCUCACUCUAUAUACAGAUAGAAAUAUCUAUGUAGACUUCUAUAUAGAGACAGAAAAAUUAAGAUGCUUGUUGCACAGUCCUCAGGAUUGUGCCUCAUGCACAAUAUGUCCUAAAUACAUGGUAGCUUUGUCCAUGGUAAGAACUACAAUAAUAACAAGCACUCACUGAGUGCUCCUGCCAUGCUUUACCUGUAUUAACCACUAACCGUGUUAACUCAUCUAGCCCUUACAACUAGCGUAUGAAUUAAGUUCUAUUAUUAGCUCCAUCUUAUAGAUGGGGAAACAGAAGCAGAGUAGUGUCCAUUCUACAGGUCAUACAGCUAUAUACAGCUAGAGUGUCCAAGCAGACACUCCAGCUCACACAAUCAAGAGUCCCUGCUCUUGACUGUUAGGUCAAGAAGAUGAUGAGGAGAAGAAGGAUGACAAUGUUGAUGAUGCCGUCCUUUGGCUUCCUCAGCUUUUCUGUGGAGCCCUUUGCUCACAGGAAAAUCUAACUGUGCUAUGUCCUUUCCUUUCUCUCUGGCCUCCGUGGCUCCUACUGUGGGCAGCUGAAGGGUCUUCAGAUGCAAGGGAGGGGGCUCUUUUGGCUCAACCCAAAGUGUCUGGCACUGGUAGCCCUGCACGUUCUAGCAGUGGCACCAAGGACCCGGCGUGGGCAGGAGCACGCAGGCUGGAGCUGCCCUGUAGGAGGCACUGCUUCUCCUGCCCUCAUCACCCACUUCUCCUAUUAGGAAAUGCCUGAGGAGGUGCCACUCCUGCGGGGCUGUUUUGAAGGGGCUGGAAGUCUUUUCUGUCACCACCUUUACCUACCUGUCAUCUGUGAACGUGACUGGAGAUGCCAAGGCUUUCCUCGACUUCUGCCACUGCCCAUGGUUCAUGGCCCUCUCACCCUGCUCCUCUCGUAAGCAGUGCCAGCAACUUGACAUUCUGAGUGAAGCCUUGCUAGGGCCCAUCCAGCACUUCUAAUGGUGCUGUCAACUGGAGUCUUGUCCGUCCUUGCCCUCAGUGAAGGCCACUUUGCAUGUGGACCCUGACACUGGACACAUGAUGGUCAGCUCCAGUAGGCUUUGGCCUGUCAACCCAUCCCAGGAGGCCGGGGGUGUCCAUCUGGGAUUGUGGUAUUGUCUCUGUCUCAGCAUCAUCAGCACAUGCCUCCUGAGGGAUUAGCCAUCACUCUUCCUUAGUGCUAUGGUCAGUCCAGCUGGGAGGGUAUUGCUGGAGCAGUAUAUGCCAGGGGCCCCAGGUAGCCAUAACCACUGCUAGGAACUGGGUUGAGUCCCCUCAACAUCUGUAAGUUAAAACCCUAACCCCCUGGCUGGGCGCGGUGGCUCACACCUGUAAUCCCAGCACUUUGGGAGAUGGAGGUGGUGGAUCAUCUGAGAUCAGGAGUUCGAGACCAACCUGGCCAACAUGGGGAAACCCCAUCUGUACUAAAAAUACAAAAAAUUAGCUGGGCGUGUUGGCACACACCUGUAAUCCCAGCUACUUGGGAGGCUGAGGCAAGAGAAUCUCUUGAACCUAGGAGGCAGAGGUUGCAGUGAACUGAGAUCAUGCCAUUGCACUCCAGUCUGGGCAACAAGAACAAAACUCCAUCUCAAAAAAACACACACAAAAAAGCAAAAAAAAACAAAAAACAAAAAUAAAAAAAGCAAAACAAAGAAAAAACCCUAACCCCCAAUGUGACUGUAUUUGGAGACAGGGCUUUUAUGGAAGUAAUGAAAGUUAAAUGAGGUUAUAGGAUAGCGGCCUAAUCCAAUAAGAUUAGUGGC